GGGGGGGGGGGGCCUCCAAGGGGACAGAGCCCCUCAGAGCUGCUGACCCCGGAGGCCUCAUGCUGGGCUUGUUCUGGGGUCAGGACCCCCUCCCAGCUCCCCUUGCCUUCUCCUGCUCCUGGAGAGCCUGCUGCCACGAGCUGGCCACGGUCUGAACUCGCAACGGCCGCCUCUGCAGCAGGCCCUCCCUGGCUUCACUGAAACCGGUCUUUCUUGCCUUAGAAAGUGACCAGAGAUACAGUUAAGACGCCUUCAAGGUCCCUUGUCCCUGAAAGGAGCAGAUCACAGUAGUGCCCAUUUGCAGUUUUCUCACUGGGCUUUUAAAGAGGCGGCACGGAGGGAAGAGGGCACGCCUUGACCUGCUGGGAUCUUGCUGGAAAGCAAAACGGAGGCUGAAGACAGCCGCCUACUUUCGUCCCGGUCUGAGACGUCUGCCCAAGCGAGGCCGGGCUGGCCAGCACGUACCCUGUGAGGGCCAGAGUCUUUCCCUUCCUCGGCCCGCUGUACCCAGCCCGUGGGGCCUCUGAGAGGCGCUUUCUGGGAGCAGGGCUGCCAGCAGGCCCGCAGAUUGGAGGUGCGGUGUCUCCAGCAAGGCCGCCACCCAGUGCUUUCCUGCUCAGGCAGGAAGCCAGGCCCAGACUCUCCCUCACGGCCCUCGCUGGCCUUUCUCUAGUGGCCGGGCAGGCGGCGAGGAGGGCUGGACUCUGGGAGGUCCAGAGAGAGCCUGUGUGAGAAAGUCUCCGUGAGCCGUCCCCAGGGGGAGAGAGCGGGAAGGGACUGCCCAGGUCCCUCAGCCCAAGGCUGGUUCUGCAGAGGAAAACUCAGAACUCCCGUUGCAACUCAGCGGUAAGAAUCCAUGAGGACGCGGGUUCGACCCCUGGCCCCGCUCAGUGGGUUAAGGAUCCGGUGUUGCUGUGAGCUGCAGUGUAGGUCACAGGUGCAGCCCAGAUCCGCCGUUGCUGUGGCCGUAGCUGUGGUGUAGGAUUCGACCCCUAGCCUGGGAACUUCCAUAUGCCGCAGAUGUGGCCCUAAAAAGCAAAAAGAAAAGAAACCUCAGAGCCCUCCAGGGGUUCCGUCCGUGGGGACAGGAAACAAGACGCCCUCCCCAGCUGCCUCUCCCUCUCCCCGCCUUCCCACCCCAGGAAAAGGGCCUCCGUCCACCUCGCUGCUCAAACGCAGACCUGGGAAUCUUGGUGCUGGCUACGUCCUGUUUCCCACCAGACCUGCCCUUCAGCCAGGGGCUGGCCCAGAAGCACCACAUCCACCGGCAGGCUCUGCGGUCCGGCUCACAGGAGAUCGCGGUGGGGGGAGAGGUCAGUGGAUUCACUCCGGCUCCCUGGCUUCCGGAGAGUCAGAACACGGGCCGGACCUCCAAGCUUGUCACUGUCCAACCCUCUCCUUUGGGGUUCCAGCAACGCCCCCCUGUCCUCGGCCCUUCAGACCUCCACAGGUAGGAAGAGGGACAAAUGCAGCUUCCUUCCAGCCCAAACACACAGGCAGUUUUCUCACUGGAGCUGCAAGAAUGGAUCGUAUGGGGGGAAAUAACAUAAAAAUCUAAGAGCCCUGCUUCCCAGGCUGGAAGACAGACCAGAUCUAUUCAUUCAGCGCGCAUUAUAACCCACUGCUUAAUUAAUAAACAGCCGCGCGCUCUCUGCA
rnacentral:lncRNA from 1 species